CUUUACAGUUAUUAUGUAUAUACACAUUGUAUAUUUCCCCAGAAUUUGUAUCUCCUAGGCAUGUCCCGGCUUGUUCACCUCCCUGCUCCCCUGUUUCUCUGCUGUUUGGACGGAGAAGCUGCAGAGAGGAGACAGCCCCCAUUCGCCCUUUCCUUCCCUGGCCCCUCUUGUGCUCCUCCCCCUUUUGUCCGUGUCCCUAUCCUGGUUUGUCCCCCCGCUUGUCUGUCUCAUGCUCUGCCCCAUCUUCUGGCCCUUUCCCCUCCUGAAGUGAUAAAAAACUGCGUGUGGGUUGGAAUAGGGGAUUUUACCUGCACCCUACCUUGUGUUCCGGACCCGUGCUGUGCCACGGCCCCAUCCCCUCUUCGGACUGUGGCAAGUGGGCAUGAGAUACAGUUUCUUUCUGAUGGAGAAAAAAAAUUUAAAAAAUCCUGGGCAACUGCAGUCCCAUUCACAGCUAACUAAAAGCAAUUGAAGGAACUGAGAAGGUUGCAGGGAGAAGAUGUGAGCAACCUAUCUCUCUCCCUGGUAUGCAGAGAGACAACAUGUUUGCAGACAUGUACAAGGCCUCCUUGGGCCAGAGGGCAGGGGGGAGAGAGAAGACACAAAAAGCCUUGGAGAAGGCGGGGCAUUGCCUUUUUUCCCUGGGGCCCAGUGUGUGCAGCAUUGUUAAGUGGUCCUUGAAUCUGAAAUAAACCUUGUUUUAAUCCUUCCACUGCCUUGGCAUUCUUGGGAAGAUAUCUGUGCAUGUUUUACCUGACAGAUCUUAACAAUGUUUAAGCAAAAAACAAUUCAGUCUCUCACAGACUCUUGUAAGAAGCAUCUUGGUAGGGUACAACCCAUUACCAUCUGGGUCCAACCAUCAAAAUAUAUUUUUGCUCAUCUAACUGCUCACUCAUGCACUAUAAUAUCCCAAUUUGUCCAUAGUAAUAUUGCAGGAUAAUGUAUUGGAAACAUUGUUAAGUCAAGAUAUUGGAUAUGCUCUCCUCUCUCCUCACUUACAUAUCUAUUUUAUCAUAGAAUGCGAUCAAGUUGGUCAGGCACAAUAUACCUUUAGUAAAUCCAUGUUUUCUGUUCCGUGUCACUUCCACUUCCUUGGCUUCCAGGAUACUCAUUGUGAUUUUUCCAGGGAUGAAAGUACAACUGAUUAGCCUGUGGUCCAUACUGACCUUUUUGCCUCUUUCGAAGUUGACUAUGGCAUCUACUUUGUUCUAUUUGUAAGAAAUAUCUUCCAAUCUCCAUAGUUUUUCAAAGAUGAUGGAGAGUGGUCUUGCAAGUCUGUCAGGUCCCCAUGACUUGAUCUUCAUUCACUGCUGCUUUCUUUCUUCCUUGAACCCUGCCUUUAAGUACAAAUUUCAGACAAUUGUUCUUAUAUUGUUAAUUCUAAAUUAAUUUUUUUCUACAGAA